AUUGAACGCUGGCGGCAUGCCUUACACAUGCAAGUCGAACGGCAGCAUGAUCUAGCUUGCUAGAUCGAUGGCGAGUGGCGAACGGGUGAGUAAUACAUCGGAACGUGCCCUGUAGUGGGGGAUAACUAGUCGAAAGAUUAGCUAAUACCGCAUACGACCUGAGGGUGAAAGUGGGGGACCGCAAGGCCUCAUGCUAUAGGAGCGGCCGAUGUCUGAUUAGCUAGUUGGUGAGGUAAAGGCUCACCAAGGCGACGAUCAGUAGCUGGUCUGAGAGGACGAUCAGCCACACUGGGACUGAGACACGGCCCAGACUCCUACGGGAGGCAGCGGUGGGGAAUAUUGGACAAUGGGCGCAAGCCUGAUCCAGCCAUACCGCGUGGGUGAAGAAGGCCUUCGGGUUGUAAAGCCCUUUUGUUGGGAAAGAAAAGCAGCAGGUUAAUACCCCGCUGUUCUGACGGUACCCAAAGAAUAAGCACCGGCUAACUUCGUG
rnacentral:rRNA from 1 species